rnacentral:rRNA from 1 species
UGGGGAAUAUUGGACAAUGGGCGCAAGCCUGAUCCAGCCAUGCCGCGUGUGUGAAGAAGGCCUUAUGGUUGUAAAGCACUUUAAGCGAGGAGGAGGCUACUUUAGUUAAUACCUAGAGAUAGUGGACGUUACUCGCAGAAUAAGCACCGGCUAACUCUGUGCCAGCAGCCGCGGUAAUACAGAGGGUGCGAGCGUUAAUCGGAUUUACUGGGCGUAAAGCGUGCGUAGGCGGCUAAUUGAGUCGGAUGUGAAAUCCCCGAGCUUAACUUGGGAAUUGCAUUCGAUACUGGUUAGCUAGAGUGUGGGAGAGGAUGGUAGAAUUCCAGGUGUAGCGGUGAAAUGCGUAGAGAUCUGGAGGAAUACCGAUGGCGAAGGCAGCCAUCUGGCCUAAUACUGACGCUGAGGUACGAAAGCAUGGGGAGCAAACAGG